UUAAUACCCCAUAGUAUAACUGAAGAGCUAUUUUUUGGGUUAUUAAAGAUUUAUCGGGUUAAAAGAUGGGCAUGCGGCUGAUUAGGGUAGUUGGUGAGGUAAUGGCUCACCAAGCCAACGAUCAGUAGGGGGUCUGAGAGGAUGUCCCCCCCACACUGGUACUGAGACACGGACCAGACUCCUACGGGAGGCAGCAGUAGGGAAUAUUGGACAAUGGGGGCAACCCUGAUCCAGCCAUUCCGCGUGCAGGAAUAAGGCCCUAUGGGUCGUAAACUGCUUUUGUAUGGGAAAAAAUCAUCUUACGUGUAGGAUGUUGAUGGUACCAUGAGAAUAAGGAUCGGCUAACUUCGUG
rnacentral:rRNA from 1 species